UCGGAUAUGGUGUAACGGCUAACAUUGCCACCUUUCAAUGUUCACGGCAGCUCGGGGUUCGCUUCCCCGUAUCCGAA